rnacentral:rRNA from 1 species
UACGAAGGGUGCAAGCGUUACUCGAAAUUACUGGGCGUAAAGCGUGCGUAGGCGGUUUGUUAAGUCUGUCGUGAAAGCCCCGGGCUCAACCUGGGAAUGGCGAUGGAUACUGGCGAGCUAGAGUACGGUAGAGGAGAGUGGAAUUCCCGGUGUAGCAGUGAAAUGCGUAGAGAUCGGGAGGAACAUCAGUUGCGAAGGCGGCUCUCUGGACCAGUACUGACGCUGAGGCACGAAAGCGUGGGGAGCAAACAGG